GAUGAACGCUAGCGAUAGGCUUAACACAUGCAAGUCGAGGGGCAGCAUGGUCUUAGCUUGCUAAGCCUGAUGGCGACCGGCGCACGGGUGCGUAACGCGUAUGCAACUUGCCUCACAGAGGGGGAUAACCCGUCGAAAGACGGACUAAUACCGCGUACACUCCAUCUUUGGCAUCCAAGGUAGAGGAAAUGAAAUUCACUUUGCGGUAGGCAUGCGUGCCAUUGGCUUGAUGGUGAGGUAACGGCUCACCAAGGCGACGAUGGGUAGGGGAAGUGAGAGGGUGAACCCCCACACGGGGACUGAGACACUGAGCAGACUCCUACGGGAGGCAGCAGUGAGGAAUAUUGGUCAAUGGGCGAGAGCCUGAACCAGCCAAGUCGCGUGAAGGAUGACUGGCUUAUGGAUUGUAAACUUCUUUUAUACGGGAAUAACAAGAGUCACGUGGGACUCCCUGCAUGUACCGUAUGAAGAAGCACCGGCUAACUCCGUG
rnacentral:rRNA from 1 species